rnacentral:lncRNA from 1 species
UCCCUUCUUAAAAUGGCGCGGUCCGCGCUAUAUAUGCAGCAUCUCUUCUCAACCCGGCGCGACCUGCGCCUUCUCCACACCAGGCAACGCGCGCCCCUUUAGCAGAAUAUCCAUUUCUUCAAUUAUUUCUCCCUCUUUUAGCUCCGAAGUCCCAUCCUUGCCUUUCUUCCUGUGAAGUGACACAAAAACCAUCAAAAGUAACAUGCAACGCUCGAUAACUGUCAAUAAUACUAAGCCUAAAUACCCCCAAAUUUAAGCAUUUAUUUGUCCUCAAGCAAUUUAACACAAUGUUAUACUACAAAAAAACAACCUUGAUGCAAAUGUGAACUAUACUCUACAAUCCUAUAAAUCUGGCAACAAAUUAGUAUGAAUAUUAGCAACAAGCCUCUGAGAUAUCCUUAAGAAACUCAAAUAGAACAUCUCAUCAAUGCAAACUGUG